rnacentral:sRNA from 1 species
UGCCAACCGGGUGUCUGCACUAAGUUCAGCAUCAAUAUGGUGACCUCCUGGGAGCAGGGGGCCACCAGGUUGCCUAAGGAUGAAUGAACUGGCCCAGAUCAGAAAGGGAGCAGGUCAGGACUCCCGCACCGACUGGUAGUGGGACUGUGCCUGGGCA